rnacentral:rRNA from 1 species
UUGACCUCGGAUCAGGUAGGGAUACCCGCUGAACUUAAGCAUAUCAUUAAGCGGAGG